UACGAAGGGUGCAAGCGUUACUCGGAAUUACUGGGCGUAAAGCGUGCGUAGGUGGUGAGUUAAGUCAGACGUGAAAUCCCUCGGCUCAACCGGGGAACUGCGUCUGAUACUGGGUGGCUUGAAUCCGGGAGAGGGAUGCGGAAUUCCAGGUGUAGCGGUGAAAUGCGUAGAGAUCCGGAGGAACACCAGAGGCGAAGGCGGCCUACUGGGCUGCACCUGACGCUGAGCCGCGAAAGCCAGGGGAGCGAACGGG
rnacentral:rRNA from 1 species